GAUGAACGCUAGCGAUAGGCUUAACACAUGCAAGUCGAGGGGCAGCAUGAACAAAGCUUGCUUUGUUUGAUGGCGACCGGCGCACGGGUGCGUAACACGUAUGCAACUUACCCAUAAAACAGGGAUAACCCGGAGAAAUUCGGACUAAUACUUGAUGGUAUUGAGCGAAGGCAUCUUCACUUAAUUAAAGAUUUAUCGAUUAUGGAUAGGCAUGCGCAUGAUUAGCUAGUUGGUGGGGUAACGGCUCACCAAGGCGACGAUCAUUAGGGGUUCUGAGAGGAAGGUCCCCCACACUGGUACUGAGACACGGACCAGACUCCUACGGGAGGCAGCAGUGAGGAAUAUUGGUCAAUGGACGCGAGUCUGAACCAGCCAAGUCGCGUGAAGGAAGACUGCCCUAAGGGUUGUAAACUUCUUUUGAUGGGAAUAAAAAUGAACGUGUUCUAUAUUGUAUGUACCAUACGAAUAAGGAUCGGCUAACUCCGUGCCAGCA
rnacentral:rRNA from 1 species